rnacentral:lncRNA from 1 species
UGAUACAGUCAUGGUCUUAUUGCUUAUAUUCUUUGAGAAAGGUUUCACGCAAAAUGAUCUUGCGUUUUAAAUUUGGUGUAUCAUGUUAAUUGCUAUAAUUGCAUUGCAGUAUUUCUAAUUAUGAUUAAUUUAUAUAAAAUUGCAUUUAUUUUUCUCAAAUUUACAGUAUACGUUAUCUCAAAUUUACAUAUAUAUAUUUUACGUGACAAUCAUACGGAUAGUAACAAAUUAUGGAGAUACUUGGUUGUGUAUAAUAAUGGUGUUACAUUAGUACCGAUCAUUUAAGUUAUGCAUAUAUACUCAGUUUUAUCCUAUCACAUAUUGGUGUGACCCUAAGAAUUGGCGAAAAUAUCAGACAGGUAACAGGUAUAUAUAUAGAAUACGAUCUGCUUACCCUUCGGACCAUAAAAACUCCCAAGGUUUUUAUUGGGUUCAUGUUGCCCAGUGUCUAGUUUUCUAUGUUAUGUGCUGAGUACUAUGUUUGUCUGUUGGUGUUUUUACUUCUUUAGCAAAGGCUUUUAUUUUUGAUUUAUACGUCUGUAAUCUACCUCAAAACUUAUUGAACAGAACAAGAUAUUAUACUACGUCAAGACGACAGAACUUGUUGUUUGACUACUUUUAUAAACAAAACAAACAUGUGGUAGGAGACAGCUCCACAAGUCUAAAUUUAUAAAAGUAGACCAUUAUGGGUCAAAGUACGGUCUUCAACACGGAGAAUAGAUUCACAUCGAACAGUAAUCUAUAAAGGACACCAAAAAGGACCAGUGAAAAACCAAUGAAACAUGAAAACUAAUGGUCUAAUCAGGAACAUAUAUAUUAACGUUAGAUAAACUGUUCCCAGGUCUAAUCUAUAUAAAACGAGGAACACUUAUGAACCACAUGAACAAACGACAACCACUGAACAUAAGAUUCCUCACUUAUGGCAGGUGUAAACAAAUGCAGUGGAUUUUAAAGUUUUAAUUGGUACCAACUUCAUCCUUACCUGAAACAAUAGUAACAUCACAACAUAGAAAGACACACUAUAAAAUAUCAAUUGAAAUGGCUUAACUAAAUCAAAAGACAUAGUAACAAGUAAACAAGUAAACAAGUGAACACACACUAAACGAAUUACACAAUGUAAACACAAAAUUGAUAAAAUAUGGGUCAAGAUAUUAAGCAAUAUCAGAAAGACAUCCAUAACCUUGGACAAAAUGUCGCAUAAUAAAAUAACGUACGUUAUAACAAAGUUUUAGUGGUCAUUAUGACCAUACAUUCUUAUUUAUAGAUUCACCCUAACAGCAAAUUUAAUUAUUGUAUAUAGAUAACGGUAUCAAGAUCUAUUCGGAAUAUAAAAGAUGGAGUCAGUCAAGCGUUAAAUAUAGGUAAAAAUUAUCUUCUCUUCACAUGGCAGAAGAGAUAUCUAUAAUCUAGAUGACUUGUGAUGGUGGUUUUUUUUUUAUAUUUAUUAAACAAACAUAAUUGUUCUUUGAUAGUUUGUCUUGGAUUGAACAUAGAAGUAUAGAAGCAACUAUAAGACACAAACCAAAUUACGUAUAUACGUGACAUUUUACGACACUUCUUGUUUUACGAAUAUCCUGUUUUAAAUUUUGUAUGAAUACCUUGAAUGACCUUGAACAUGGACAUAUUUUAAUCCAUGCUCAUAUGUGGUAUUUGUAUUGAAAUUCAUUGAGAUAACA